UGGCGGACGGGUGAGUAACGCGUGGGUAACCUGCCUCAUACAGGGGGAUAACAGUUAGAAAUGACUGCUAAUACCGCAUAAGACCACAGCACCGCAUGGUGCAGGGGUAAAAACUCCGGUGGUAUGAGAUGGACCCGCGUCUGAUUAGGUAGUUGGUGGGGUAACGGCCCACCAAGGCGACGAUCGGUAGCCGGACUGAGAGGUUGAACGGCCACAUUGGGACUGAGACACGGCCCAG
rnacentral:rRNA from 1 species